GGAGACAUGUAAGAUGCCCUGUGAGAAAUCAGUCACACUCUAUUGAUGGUGUUUGAAUUUUUGAAUCAAAGCUUAUUAUUGCCCCUGGCUUUGUUAGUUCAUAGUGGUUAAACCACAACCCAAGAAUGAAAAAUAAAGAAUGUCAAUCAAAAAAUGGUGCAAUAUCUAAUGAGUGGGAGCAGGGAUUGAUAUUACUGUACAGACUUUUAGAGUUGGAGCUAAAACAUUUAUAACCGUAGAUAAAGUAAACUGAUAGCUUUAUUUCUGCCUCCACCUUCAAUGAAAGAGAAAAAAGGGGGUCAAGGAGGAGGCUGCGUCGAGAGUAUAUUUUCCAGGAGAGCCUUCAACAUUGGGGAGGAUCAGACUGAUCCCACCGAGAAGCUGGACAAGGAGAUACAGCACUGGACAGGGGUCCAGCCAUCCAGGACACCAGCUGUGACGAAACAGAAGAAGGCAAACAGGACUGUGGGGUGGAGAGGUGGUGUUGGCUGGGAGAAACUGCGGAGAGCAAUUUGAAGUCACUACUCAAGAUGUUGACUAAGACAGAACAAUUGAAGGUAGCAGAUACUGACCACUGCAAGGAGUCACACAAAACUGUGACUGACAUGAGUGAAGCACCGGACAGCCGUGAGGAGAGAGACAGUUCGGCAAUGGACGAUGGCUGUAAUGCUGAGGAUUUUGGUCCGAGGACAAUGGCUGAUAAGGGGGGGGACAAACAGCCCCUUUCAAAUAGGCAUAGCAAUGAAUUUUCCAGACCGAAAAUGGAUGAUGAAUGUCCACAAAGCUCUAAGGGCAGAAGCAGCUUGAUGUUGGACGAACACUUAUCAAGGGACACAAUGGAGCUGAGUCAUAGUAAAAAGGAGUUGGAGGUGUUGGAGGCAAUCACAAAUUUGUUACUGAACAACAGAGAGGACAGUACUACUGUUCACUGGGUGGAGUGGUGCAAGACUGCUGUUGAUGAUCUUGAGGGACCUCAGCUGGACAAUGGUCUACCAUGUCAACCCUACACUAUAGAGACAGCAAAUGAUGUGCUGUACAGCUGUGAGGAGAGAGACAGUUUGCUGAUGGAUGAAGAGUGCGAUGAUGAGCAUUUCUCCUUGAGCACAAUGAGGAGUGUGAAAGGGAGGGGGUGCGUGCAGUCCGUUUUGAGCACACACAGCAACGAGAUCGUAAGACCCGAGUUCAGUGGACGAGCUGAAACGGAAUAUGAAAUUUUCGCGAGAGGGAAGGAAGAACAGCGCUGUAGAACAAGUACUACAGAUAGUGGAAAGGAUUCUGGCAGAGGAUCUAUGUACAGUUUAGACAGCAUUUAGGAAUGUGUCAGUGACAGAGCUGCUUAAUACAGCACAAUCAUACUAUUAAAAUAAUUACUUAUGAUUUUGUUAUUAUUAUUAUUAUUAUUAUUAUUAUUAUUAUUAUUGUAUUUGGGUGUAUUGGGUUUGGGUGAUUUUUGGGUGUACACUCUUGGAACAAAUUAGACUUUCCCCCAUUAAAAAAAUGGUAUUUGUCCUUUCGGUUUACAGAUUUUUUUGCAGACGAAGGCUUUUCCAGGAGCAAAUUAAGUUGAUAAACCGAGCAAUUGGUGUAAUCACUAAUAUGAGCUUCCAGGAAUAUUAACUGAAAUUUGUAAUAUUGUUUUGUCUGAGCAAGAUUUUGGAAGUUUUGUUUGAGAGCAAGCCUGUGGUGUUAACGAAAACACGAAGAAUAUACCAUUGGUACCAUUAAGUUCCACAGAAC
rnacentral:lncRNA from 1 species